rfam:Planktothrix tepida PCC 9214 isolate BBR_PRJEB10993 genome assembly, scaffold: BBR_B_PL9214_scaffold24
GAGUAGCCGUGUGAGAUGAAAGUUUCACGCACGGUUUCGGACGAGAGGGGGAAGAUGGUAACAUCUCCCUCGACUCUUCU